rnacentral:rRNA from 1 species
UACGUAGGGUGCGAGCGUUGUCCGGAAUUACUGGGCGUAAAGAGCUCGUAGGUGGUUUGUCGCGUUGUUCGUGAAAACUCACGGCUUAACUGUGAGCGUGCGGGCGAUACGGGCAGACUGGAGUACUGCAGGGGAGACUGGAAUUCCUGGUGUAGCGGUGGAAUGCGCAGAUAUCAGGAGGAACACCGGUGGCGAAGGCGGGUCUCUGGGCAGUAACUGACGCUGAGGAGCGAAAGCCAGGGGAGCGAACGGG